CUCUCACAAAACCUUUGUAGCAGGAUUGUAGGCACAAUGUAAUGAGAACUAUUUUGCUGAAUCAGGCUGCUUUUAUUAUAUUUUAUUUGUCACUCCUUUCAGUUUGAGGCUGCGUGGGCCCUGACGAACAUCGCCUCGGGGACUUCCCAACAAACCAAAAUAGUCAUCGAGGCUGGGGCAGUUCCCAUAUUUAUAGAACUCUUAAACUCUGACUUUGAGGACGUUCAGGAGCAGGCUGUCUGGGCCUUGGGGAACAUUGCUGGAGACAGCUCUGUGUGUAGAGAUUAUGUCCUUAACUGUGCCAUUCUUCCUCCCUUAUUAAUGCUCCUCACCACAUCCACCAGGCUGACAAUGACACGAAAUGCUGUCUGGGCCUUGUCCAACCUGUGCAGAGGAAAGAGUCCACCUCCUGAAUUUGAUAAGGUGAGAAGAAAUGCCUUGUUGGCAGCCAGGUGGUGG